UACGUAGGGGCCGAGCGUUGUCCGGAGUUACUGGGCGUAAAGCGUGCGUAGGCGGUGUCUUAAGUUUGUUGUGAAAUCUCCCGGCUUAACCGGGAGGGUGCGGCGAAUACUGAGAUGCUGGAGUGCCGGAGAGGUAAGCGGAAUUCCUGGUGUAGCGGUGAAAUGCGUAGAUAUCAGGAGGAACACCUGCGGUGUAGACGGCUUACUGGACGGUAACUGACGCUGAGGCACGGAAGCGUGGGUAGCAAACAGG
rnacentral:rRNA from 1 species